AUGUAUGUCUCCUGGGGGUCAGAGUUCAGCCAAUUGUUUGGGUGUCUGUUAGUCUUCUUGUCCAAAGUCUGUUCCUUAAUUUCUGUCUCUGAAGUCACUAGCUUGUUUGUCGUACACACACUUGUCGUUCAGCACCGAUGCGCCUCUGUGAAGAAGGCUUGUCGAGAGUGUGUGUGUGGGUGUGUGUGUGUGUGUGUGUGUGUGUGUGGGUGUGCGUGCAUGCGAUUGAAUGCGCAUGUUCAGCUUUUUUGGCAAAAACUGAUUUUAGAAACUUGCAGUUGUGACUUUCUUUUUUCCAUUAUCCUCAUUCCUGUUUGGAGCUCACCUCACCUCGGCUCACUUAUGUUUUCUCGUCAGAGCAGUUAGUGAACGAGAGCAUAUGUCAUAUAUCUACCUCCUCUACAGAAAUGAGAAACAGUAGGGACAGUGGGUGACAAAGGACGAGGUGAGAGAAAAGGAGGUGACAAGCUCUUGCCUUAUGGCCCAAAACAUCUCUGUUAGCUGAGGAAAAGUUAGCUCUGACAUCAACAUGGCGUCAAGGCAGGUAACUGAGUGAGCAGCCACUUUGUUGUAGUCUAUUUCUGAGAAAGAGCUCGAGAUGGGAUCCUGAGUUUCCUGCCGGCUUUGUGUGUGUGUGUGUGUGUGUGUNNNNNNNNNNNNNNNNNNNNNNNNNNNNNNNNNCUCUCCCUGAGACAGCCUCGGUCGUGGUCGUGGUCAGGGUCGUGGUCGGGGUCAGGGUCGGGGCCAAUAUCAUUGUGUGUUUCCAGAAUAGGGGUCUAGAGAUCAAAGCAUUUCUGAAUACUUUGUUAAAGACACAAAAGAGGUUGCUCUCUCUCUCUCUCGUUCCCUCUCUAUCGCUGUCUUUUCUCUCUUACCUGUGAGUAUAUGACACCAACUGAUUGAGCCCAUGCCAAGCUGGUGACAGUUAAGUGUAUGUUGGUGGUUAAGAUCACACACACACACACACACACACACACACACACAUACACACACACACACUGACACACCAGUGUGUCACGCAGACUGCCAGUAAGUGAUCUGACCCCUUGACCUGUUACAGAAAGGGUUAUUUAACACACACACACACACACACACACACACACACANNNNNNNNNNUGUGUGUGUGUGUGUGUGUGUGUGUGUGUGUGUGUGUGUGUGUGUGUGUGUGUGUGUGUGUGUGUGUGUGUGUGUGUGUGUUUCCAGUGUCUAGGAGGCGGUCUCUUACCGGAAGAUUCUCCCUCCUGCCUGCUGAGUAAUGAAAAGUCUGAGACUGAAUGCUUCACAUCACUCUGUGAGAGACACACACACUGAGACAAAGACCUUCACAUCUCACUGCGAGCAACACACACUUUUAACCAGUCGCCCCCUCAUCCUAACGUUAGUAUAACCGUCGGGGAACAAAAGGCCUUCUCUGUGCUCCCUGAAUGGCAGGCCUGUUAAACGAUGCCUCAUCCCUCUGUCAUGUGUUUGCCUGAGCGACAGGAUGGCUAAACGAUGGCUCAUCCAUGACUUCAUCACGACAGGAUGCUGGAAUGGAAACCAGUACUGAACGGCUGUUGGUGUUUGUCUAGGAGUGUUUGUCAGAGAGAGAGAGAAGGAAGGGAGGGAGAUCUUUAGAAGCGUUCAGUAGCGUUAGUUAAUUGUUGUGGCCAAGGCUUACUGUAUGCACUCCUGCAUUGACUAUAUAAUAAUAAUAAUAAUAAUAAUAAUUUGGAGGGUGCUUAUAUUUGUCCUAUUUCACACAAGUGUCUACAGCCUGGUCUCAUAGACUAUACGUAGCAUAGCAAAUGUACAUCCGGGACACUCAAAUGACAGUAGUAUGAUAUGUUACGUUUGGUAUGGUUACGUAAGGCAAAAACGAAAGUAGGGUGGUUGGUUGGGGUGGAUGGGUCUAGCAACCCAAAGGUUGUGAGUUUGAAUCUCAUCACGGACAACUGUAGCAUUUUAGCCAAUUAGCAACUUUUCAACUACUUACACAUUUUUAACUACUUUGCAUGUUAUCUAACCCUUCACCUAACCCUAACCCUUUUAGCUCAUCCUGACCCUAACCUUAACCCUUUAACCUAACUCCUUAACUUAACCCAGGUAGCAUCACAACCGGCCAUGACUGGUAGGUCCAUAGGGCGACGCACAAUUGCUCCAGUGUCGGCGUCAUUGUAAAUAACAAUUUGUUCUUAACUAACUUGCCUAGUUAAAUAAAGGUUGGAUAAAACAUUUAAAAAAUGAAACCCUAACCCCUAUCCCAACUCUCCCUGAGACAGCCUCGGUCGUGGUCGUGGUCAGGGUCGUGGUCGGGGUCAGGGUCGGGGCCAAUAUCAUUGUGUGUUUCCAGAAUAGGGGUCUAGAGAUCAAAGCAUUUCUGAAUACUUUGUUAAAGACACAAAAGAGGUUGCUCUCUCUCUCUCUCGUUCCCUCUCUAUCGCUGUCUUUUCUCUCUUACCUGUGAGUAUAUGACACCAACUGAUUGAGCCCAUGCCAAGCUGGUGACAGUUAAGUGUAUGUUGGUGGUUAAGAUCACACACACACACACACACACACACACACACACAUACACACACACACACUGACACACCAGUGUGUCACGCAGACUGCCAGUAAGUGAUCUGACCCCUUGACCUGUUACAGAAAGGGUUAUUUAACACACACACACACACACACACACACACACACA
rnacentral:lncRNA from 13 species